AUUGAACGCUGGCGGCAUGCCUUACACAUGCAAGUCGAACGGUAACGCGGGGGCAACCCUGGCGACGAGUGGCGAACGGGUGAGUAAUGUAUCGGAACGUGCCCUAGAGUGGGGGAUAACUAGUCGAAAGAUUAGCUAAUACCGCAUACGCUCUAUGGAUGAAAGCGGGGGAUCGCAAGACCUCGCGCCCCUGGCGCGGCCGAUAUCUGAUUAGCUAGUUGGUGGGGUAAAGGCCCACCAAGGCGACGAUCAGUAGCUGGUCUGAGAGGACGACCAGCCACACUGGGACUGAGACACGGCCCAGACUCCUACGGGAGGCAGCAGUGGGGAAUUUUGGACAAUGGGGGCAACCCUGAUCCAGCAAUGCCGCGUGUGUGAAGAAGGCCUUCGGGUUGUAAAGCACUUUUGUCCGGAAAGAAAUUGCUCUGGUUAAUACCCGGGGUAGAUGACGGUACCGGAAGAAUAAGCACCGGCUAACUACGUGCCAGCAGCCGCCGUAAAAC
rnacentral:rRNA from 1 species